rnacentral:rRNA from 1 species
GACGAACGCUGGCGGCGCGCCUAACACAUGCAAGUCGAACGAGCGAGAGAGAGCUUGCUUUCUCGAGCGAGUGGCGAACGGGUGAGUAACGCGUGAGGAACCUGCCUCAAAGAGGGGGACAACAGUUGGAAACGACUGCUAAUACCGCAUAAGCCCACAGCUCGGCAUCGAGCAGAGGGAAAAGGAGCAAUCCGCUUUGAGAUGGCCUCGCGUCCGAUUAGCUAGUUGGUGAGGUAACGGCCCACCAAGGCGACGAUCGGUAGCCGGACUGAGAGGUUGAACGGCCACAUUGGGACUGAGACACGGCCCAGACUCCUACGGGAGGCAGCAGUGGGGAGUAUUGCACAAUGGGGGAAACCCUGAUGCAGCGACGCCGCGUGGAGGAAGAAGGUCUUCGGAUUGUAAACUCCUGUUGUUGGGGAAGAUAAUGACGGUACCCAACAAGGAAGUGACGGCUAACUACGUGCCAGCAGCCGCGGUAAAACGUAGGUCACAAGCGUUGUCCGGAAUUACUGGGUGUAAAGGGAGCGCAGGCGGGAAGACAAGUUGGAAGUGAAAUCUAUGGGCUCAACCCAUAAACUGCUUUCAAAACUGUUUUUCUUGAGUAGUGCAGAGGUAGGCGGAAUUCCCGGUGUAGCGGUGGAGUGCGUAGAUAUCGGGAGGAACACCAGUGGCGAAGGCGGCCUACUGGGCACCAACUGACGCUGAGGCUCGAAAGUGUGGGUAGCAAACAGGAUUAGAUACCCUGGUAGUCCACACCGUAAACGAUGAUUACUAGGUGUUGGAGGAUUGACCCCUUCAGUGCCGCAGUUAACACAAUAAGUAAUCCACCUGGGGAGUACGACCGCAAGGUUGAAACUCAAAGGAAUUGACGGGGGCCCGCACAAGCAGUGGAGUAUGUGGUUUAAUUCGACGCAACGCGAAGAACCUUACCAAGUCUUGACAUCCCUUGACAGACAUAGAAAUAUGUAAUCUCUUCGGAGCAAGGAGACAGGUGGUGCAUGGUUGUCGUCAGCUCGUGUCGUGAGAUGUUGGGUUAAGUCCCGCAACGAGCGCAACCCUUAUGGUCAGUUACUACGCAAGAGGACUCUGGCCAGACUGCCGUUGACAAAACGGAGGAAGGUGGGGAUGACGUCAAAUCAUCAUGCCCUCUAUGACUUGGGCUACACACGUACUACAAUGGCGUUAAACAAAGAGAAGCAAGACCGCGAGGUGGAGCAAAACUCAGAAACAACGUCCCAGUUCGGACUGCAGGCUGCAACUCGCCUGCACGAAGUCGGAAUUGCUAGUAAUCGUGGAUCAGCAUGCCACGGUGAAUACGUUCCCGGGCCUUGCAC